AGGGCUCGCAGCUGGUUUUGAGCAGGGACAGGAGAACGGGGUAAUACUCGUUGCUGCAGUUGUUGAGAGCCUCUUCGUACAGAGGCCCCACCCCGGCCGCCAGCCGGACCCGACCCACGUCCCCCGUAGGGGACCACCGGUGCAUGUCCGACCGCGGAAACCACCACUCACCGUCGGGAACGGCCGAGCGCCAGCUCCCUCCCCGGGCCCCACGACGGCCGUGCCGAUGCCGCAAAGCUCCGCUAAGUACCUAAUAAUAAUAACAAUAACAAUU